rnacentral:misc_RNA from 1 species
GAUGAAGAACGCAGCGAAAUGCGAUAAGUAAUGUGAAUUGCAGAAUUCAGUGAAUCAUCGAGUCUUUGAACGCACAUUGCGCCCCCUGGUAUUCCGGGGGGCAUGCCUGUCCGAGCGUCAUUGCUGCCCUUCAAGCCCGGCUUGUGUGUUGGGUCGUCGUCCCCCCCGGGGGACGGGCCCGAAAGGCAGCGGCGGCACCGCGUCCGGUCCUCGAGCGUAUGGGGCUUUGUCACCCGCUCGAUUAGGGCCGGCCGGGCGCCAGCCGGCGUCUCCAACCUUCUAUUUUACCAGGUUGACCUCGGAUCAGGUAGGGAUACCCGCUGAACUUAAGCAUAUCAAUAAGCGGAGGA